rnacentral:lncRNA from 1 species
UAAAUUUCUAAUUUUACUUUCAAUAGCAGAAUGCCUCUGAAACUCUUCAGUUUACAAACUUAGUUGGGUAAAGUCAAUAACAUUUACAAGGGACAGAGAAGACGCUCUCUGAUGGUGACAGGUAACAAGGAAGAUCCCCGGGCUUGCCCUCAGAGCAUGCCACAGCUCCCUGAUGCGGCUCAUGUGCCCGCCAUCUGCUCAGGUGGCUGUGGAUGCUGUCCACCGCGUCUGAGACCUCCCUUUGGGGCCAGACUCCUCCUGAGGGGGGUGCUUUACCUCAGGGGCACCAUGAAUCUUUCAAUUUUGCCAUGUAAGGUUCCUGCUCCCGCUUAGCCUUCUGCCAUGAGUGAAAGCUCCUUGAAGCCUCUCCAGAAGCUAAGCUGAUAUCGGUGCCAUGCUUCCUGUAAAGCCUGCAGAAACAGUCUCCUAGGAAAUAGACCGCAUAUUGGCCUUAAGGAGGUAUGUCAAC